UAGGGAAUCUUCGGCAAUGGGGGCAACCCUGACCGAGCAACGCCGCGUAAGUGAAGAAGGUUUUCGGAUCGUAAAGCUCUGUUGUAAGUCAAGAACGAGUGUGAGAGUGGAAAGUUCACACUGUGACGGUAGCUUACCAGAAAGGGACGGCUAACUACGUGCCAGCAGCCGCGGUAAUACGUAGGUCCCGAGCGUUGUCCGGAUUUAUUGGGCGUAAAGCGAGCGCAGGCGGUUUGAUAAGUCUGAAGUUAAAGGCUGUGGCUCAACCAUAGUUCGCUUUGGAAACUGUCAAACUUGAGUGCAGAAGGGGAGAGUGGAAUUCCAUGUGUAGCGGUGAAAUGCGUAGAUAUAUGGAGGAACACCGGUGGCGAAAGCGGCUCUCUGGUCUGUAACUGACGCUGAGGCUCGAAAGCGUGGGGAGCGAACAGGAUUAGAUACCCUGGUAGUCCACGCCGUAAACGAUGAGUGCUAGGUGUUGGAUCCUUUCCGGGAUUCAGUGCCGCAGCUAACGCAUUAAGCACUCCGCCUGGGGAGUACGACCGCAAGGUUG
rnacentral:rRNA from 1 species